CGGUGAAUACGUUCCCGGGCCUUGUACACACCGCCCGUCAAACAAUGGAAGCUGGGGGUACCUGAAGUCUGUAACCGCAAGGAGCGGCCUAGGGUAAAACUAGUAACUGGUGUU
rnacentral:rRNA from 1 species